CCCUCGCCGGUUCCAUUUGUAGCCUCAUCACCCUAUUUCCCUCUCCCUCGCGCGCGCCCACACCUCUACUUCCGAGCCGCCCUUGCUCCUGUGCCCAUCCGGUGGAUGCCCGCCCGCCAUAGCACAACGUGCCCAUCAGUUCUGUGGAGGAGCCCUGCUGUUCGCGUCGAAUCGCUAGUUUGGUGCUCGCCGUCGAACUCCGUCGUGAUCGCGGUUCGUUUCCGAGCUUCGAGGAAUCAACGUUCAAGCGUCGGCGACCAAGAGAUCAAGCUCUUCGAGUUCUAUAAAGUUGAAGUCCCUGAGCAUCUGUUUGGCGAAGGGGACUCAGGCUGUUUUCUCAGUACCUCUCCGUAAGGACCUGUUCGGGGAGUGACAACCCGGGAUAACAGUGCAACCAUGAGGGUGGAAUGGGACGCCCUUAGCUGAUUAAUUAGAGAAACCAGAGGAGUAGCUGGCUUCGCCGUAGGGCCGUCAAUGGGGUCCGGGCAUAGUACUUGCUCUACCGAGGCUGGUUGCAGAGGUUCUUGAUUUGGUUUUGUUAGUCACCCUUCCUUUGGGGAGAUGUACUGUGUUUAUCAAACUGGAGAAACCUAACGGGCGGCUAUGACCUCUGGGAAAUCUUUGUAAAGGCUACGUAGUGAGACCCUGCUAGGUCACCUUGGUACUGAUCGAUGGAGAGUCAUGAUCUCCGGGCAGAACGGGAAUCACGACUUGUGGGUAAAGUGUGCGACCUCUGUAGAGGAUUAGAAACUGAUAUAUCAGUCGUGCUCACGGUUAUGAGUGGCCU